AUUGAACGCUGGCGGCAUGCCUUACACAUGCAAGUCGAACGGCAGCACGGGAGCAAUCCUGGUGGCGAGUGGCGAACGGGUGAGUAAUGUAUCGGAACGUACCUUUCAGUGGGGGAUAACGUAGCGAAAGUUACGCUAAUACCGCAUAUUCUGUGAGCAGGAAAGCAGGGGAUCGCAAGACCUUGCGCUGAUUGAGCGGCCGAUAUCAGAUUAGCUAGUUGGUGAGGUAAAGGCUCACCAAGGCGACGAUCUGUAGCGGGUCUGAGAGGAUGAUCCGCCACACUGGAACUGAGACACGGUCCAGACUCCUACGGGAGGCAGCAGUGGGGAAUUUUGGACAAUGGGCGCAAGCCUGAUCCAGCCAUGCCGCGUGAGUGAAGAAGGCCUUCGGGUUGUAAAGCUCUUUCGGCCGGGAAGAAAUCGCACAGGUUAAUACCCUGUGUGGAUGACGGUACCGGAAUAAGAAGCACCGGCUAACUACGUG
rnacentral:rRNA from 1 species